AUUGUCAGAUCAUGAUGAGGUGUCCCGAGUAAGUUCUAACGAUAGGAAACACCUUUAAAUCCAUAUUAUACUCAGAUUAAUCUUCAUUUGCACCGAGUCGACCCAAUUAAGAGAAAAAGCAUCCAGUGGUAAGAAGACGUACAGGAUCAUCCGUUACAGGCGAUGCGGUGUGGAAAACUCCAUCGCAGCCGUUGAUGGCUUCGCGCAAGCUCUGGUAAUCAAGAAGGUCCGCCUUCCAAAGUGUUAACCUUUCACUUGCUCCUUCAAGCUGCUUCAGGUAACCUGGAUUUCUGACGGUUCCUCGGACGGUGUAGCCUUUCUGGAGGAGGAGUUUAACGAGCCAGGAAGCGAUGAAGCCUCCGGCGCCGGUGACGCAGACUACUUGGCCGGAAAGUGACGGCAUGGUUGCUUUUCGGGUGGAUAUGAUGAUGUUGUUGAAAGAGAAAGGAGAUAUGUGAUAUGGAGAUAUAUGGGGAUGCAUAUAUAUAUAUAUAUAUAUAUAGUAAAGUCCCCUUCCCCCACCAAGACACCAACUACGUUUGCAAACUCUAUAAACUAAUUCCCUUUUUAGAAUUACUUAAAAAUUUAACAUAUAUGGUAUCAAUAUUUUACUCUUAAUAAUAUAAGAUCAAAUAAUGAUUUUUAUA